rnacentral:rRNA from 1 species
AACAACGCUGGCGGCGUGCCUAACACAUGCAAGUCGUACGAGAAGUUGGCUUCGGCCAAUGAGUAAAGUGGCGCACGGGUGAGUAACGCGUGGAUAAUCUGCCCCUCAGUUGGGAAGUAACUCAUCGAAAGGUAGAGCUAAUACCGAAUAAAACUAGUGAGACCCGGUCCGAUCAGUCAAAGGAGCCUCUGCUUGCAAGCUUUCGCUGAAGGAUGAGUCCGCGUACCAUUAGCUGGUUGGUAGGGUAAUGGCCUACCAAGGCGACGAUGGUUAGCUGGUCUGAGAGGAUGAUCAGCCACACUGGAACUGAGACACGGUCCAGACUCCUACGGGUGGCAG